UUUAACUUCAGUUCCAAUAGAACUACCAUAUGUAAAUAUAACUGAUUAGAAAAGUGAAACCCCUAAAAGUAAUCUAUUUCUAUUGUAUUACUUCAGGUGAAAAUAAAAAAUCACAAUUUCCAAGCACACAAGACAUGUACUUACAAAAGGAUGUAGCCAAAUUCAUAUAGAUAGAAAGACAAAACAUUUUUCACCAUAAGAUGGCAUGAAAGUUGAUAAAUUACUAACCCCUACAUUUCAACACAUGGGGCGACAUGAACUGACAUUGUAAGAAACAUCAAAUACAUAUAAUUUAAGAGGUACAAUGAAUAACUACUAGUGUCCCUCAACUCAAGGUCGGUACAACAUUGUCAUUGUAUAAAACCAGCAAGGCCUGACUUCUAUUUCUAACACAAGUCAAAAAGCGUUCUUUUUAUCCACAGUGUCAUUGAAUCAUAGCUGAAAAUUAAAAUGCCUACUAUUAUACACUAGAUGCAAAACUGAAAUUCAUAACUUUUGUUUUUGCAAAUCAAACCACCAUCUUGACCCCAAGUAGCGAGUUAGAGCCAAAUGCAAAAGCCCAAUAAAAAGUCUGAUUUUCAAAACUAAAAAUAAGUAUUCCGACUUAUAUUCUCCACUUGUGUUGUUUUUACAGAAACUGAGCUGAUUUAUAACUGCAAUAAUCCAACAUUCCUCCAUGUUAUAACAUUAAUCUCACUAUUUCCCCUCUUU